UGACGAUGUUGCUGAUGAGCUCAAAGCAAGACUCCCCAACAAAUAAUCAUGACAACUGUAAGGAAUAGCAACUUGAAUCCAGUUUGGAAUGAAGAGCUUAUGCUUUCUGUUCCUCAGAAUUACAAGCCUGUUAAAGUGAUGACAACAGCCAUAGCCAUUGGAGAUGUUACACAGGAGGUUAAGAUAUUGCUCUGGUAUAAUUGUAUUUUCGCUUAACGGGUCGUGCCUUGACCAGAUUUGUCGUGUUGAAGACAUAGAGCAAUGAGUGUCAUCGUCAGCACAGAAGGUAU